CAAGAGGUAGAGUGCUAGCCUUGAGCAAAAAGAAGCCGACCAUGGUAAUCCAACUAAACUUUACAUAAAGAUUGGAGGGAGAGAUGCACGUAAGUUGAUAGAUGCCAGGUUGAACUCUUUGCUCUAUGGCCAUUCACUUCAUUUUAGCAUGUAAAUUAAUGUGUUUCUCCACCAGAUAUGCAUAUAUACAUACUUAAAAUAUUUUCUGA